GGUUCAUUCAAAUUUCUGCCCUAUCAACUUUCGACUUUAGUGUAGUGGACUAAAGUGGUUACAACGGGUAACGGAGGGUUAGGGCUCGACCCCGGAGAAGGAGCCUGAGAAACGGCUACUACAUCCAAGGAAGGCAGCAGGCGCGCAAAUUACCCAAUCCCGACCGGGGAGGUAGUGACGAUAAAUACCGAUACAGGGCUCUUUUGGGUCCUGUAAUUGGAAUGAGUACAAUUCAAAUCCCUUAACGAGGAACAAUUGGAGGGCAAGUCUGGUGCUAGCAGCCGCGGUAAUUCCAGCUCCAAUAGCGUAUAUUAAAGUUGUUGUGGUUAAAAAGCUCGUAUAA
rnacentral:rRNA from 1 species